AGCCAAUAGAUACCCGGGUAGUCCACGCCCUAAACGAUGUCUACUAGUUGUUGGUGGAGUAAAAUCCAUGAGUAAACGCAGCUAAACGCGUGAAGUAGACCGCCUGGGGAGUACGGUCGCAAGAUUAAAAACUCAAAGGAAUUGACGGGGGCCCGCACAAGCGGUGGAUUAUGUGGAUUAAAUUCGAUGCAACGCGAAAAACCUUACCUGGCCUUGACAUGCCACUAACGAAGCAGAGAUGCAUUAGGUGCCCGUAAGGGAAAGUGGACACAGGUGCUGCAUGGCUGUCGUCAGCUCGUGUCGUGAGAUGUUGGGUUAAGUCCCGCAACGAGCGCAACCCUUGCCAUUAAUUGCCAUCAUUUAGUUGGGCACUUUAAUGGGACUGCCGGUGACAAACCGGAGGAAGGUGGGGAUGACGUCAAGUCCUCAUGGCCCUUAUGGCCAGGGCUUCACACGUAAUACAAUGGUCGGUACAGAGAGUUGCCAACCCGCGAGGGGAGCUAAUCUCAGAAAGCCGAUCGUAGUCCGGAUUGUUCUCUGC
rnacentral:rRNA from 1 species